GGGAACUUAGAAAGCGAUGCCGAUGCAAAGUUGAAGAAGCAGCUCUCUGAUGCCAAAUGCAAGGAGCUUAGUGGACAUGACAUAUUCGCCCCUCCUCCUGAGAUUUUGCCUCGACCAACAACUGCUCGUACUUUGGAUUUAAAAGGAAGUAUAGAGAUUGGAGAGCCUGUUAAUAGAAAUGUGAUCCCCGGAGAAGAACCUUCGGUAAAGACAGCAAAGAAGAUUUACGACAAGAAGUUUUCGGAGUUAUCAGGAAAUGACAUCUUCAAAGGCGACAUUCCUCCAUCUUCUGCAGAGAAACCGUUGAGCGUCGCAAAGUUGCGAGAGAUGAGUGGCAACGACAUAUUUGCAGACGGGAAGGUAGAGACCCGAGACUACUUAGGCGGAGUACGCAAACCUCCGGGGGGAGAGAGCAGCAUUGCGUUGGUUUAAAUCAUCUAGGUUUCUAACAAAACUCAAUACUUUCUCUUGGCGGGGGAGAUGAUGGAUAGAUAUGGUGUUAUGGAAAUUGUCAUAUGGUUUGGGUAAAAUUAUGUUAUUAGGUUUUAACUUUGGUUAGUCAACAACAAUGGAGUCUCUGCUAAUUGGGGUUGUGUUCCAUAAUGUUUUUGUACUUUUGGUUGUGUUGUGUGUCUGUGUCUAGUAGUUCGGUUUUAUUUUGGUUGUCUUCUGUCUAUUUUACUUUCA
rnacentral:misc_RNA from 1 species